rnacentral:rRNA from 1 species
CCGGCGACCGGCGCACGGGUGAGUAACACGUAUGCAACCUGGCCGUCACAGGUGGAUAACCGGAAGAAAUUCCGACUAAUACAGCAUAACACUCCUGAGGGACAUCCUUCGGGAGUCAAAGGAGGCAACUCCGGUGACGGACGGGCAUGCGGCGCAUUAGGUAGUUGGUAGGGUAACGGCCUACCAAGCCGACGAUGCGUAGGGGUUCUGAGAGGAAGGUCCCCCACAUUGGAACUGAGACACGGUCCAAACUCCUACGGGAGGCAGCAG